rnacentral:rRNA from 1 species
CCUACGGGAGGCGGCAGUAAGGAAUAUUGGUCAAUGGGCGCAAGCCUGAACCAGCCAUGCCGCGUGCAGGAAGACGGCCCUAUGGGUUGUAAACUGCUUUUGAACAAGAGAAAACCUCGGUACGUGUACCGAGCUGAUAGUAUUGUUAGAAUAAGCAUCGGCUAACUUCGUGCCAGCAGCCGCGGUAAGACGAAGGAUGCAAGCGUUAUCCGGAUUCAUUGGGUUUAAAGGGUGCGUAGGCGGACCGAUAAGUCAGUGGUGAAAUCUCUCAGCUUAACUGAGAAACUGCCAUUGAUACUGUCAGUCUAGAGUAUAGAUGAUGUGGGCGGAAUAUGACAUGUAGUGGUGAAAUACUUAGAUAUGUCAUAGAACACCGAUUGCGAAGGCAGCUCACAAAACUAUAACUGACGCUGAGGCACGAAAGUGCGGGGAUCAAACAGGAUUAGAUACCCUGGUAGUCCGCACCGUAAACGAUGAUUACUCGUUGUUGGCAAUAUGACCGUCAGCGACCAAGCGAAAGCGANAAGUAAUCCACCUGGGGAGUACGCCGGCAACGGUGAAACUUAAAUGAAUUGACGGCUUGAGACGNGCGAGGACGACACGAGGGAGGAGG